rnacentral:rRNA from 1 species
GACGAACCGUGCGAACGUUGUUCGGAAUCACUGGGCUUAAAGGGCGCGUAGGCGGGUUGCCAAGUUUGGGGUGAAAUCCUCCGGCUCAACCGGAGAACUGCCUCAAAUACUGGCGGUCUCGAGGGGGGUAGGGGCAUGCGGAACUAUGCGUGGAGCGGUGAAAUGCGUUGAUAUGCAUAGGAACUCCGGUGGCGAAGGCGGCGUGCUGGACCCUUUCUGACGCUGAGGCGCGAAAGCCAGGGGAGCAAACGGG